GGACUGGGAUUUGGGUUCCACAAAAUGACGCUCACCAGGAGGCAGGAGAUAACCAAAGUGCUGGUGCAGCACCUGAAGGAAUUUGCCACCCAAUUCAACAGUCCAGGUUGCAGAGAGACCAUCAGCGGCGACGCUGCAUGGCUUGACACCAACUUGGGUCCAUUCUCCACAGUGGCCACUUACAAAGACCUUAAGGACUUGAACGUCGGCAUGUUGGCAGCUCUUGAAACCCUGACACCUGACCAGAAAG